UUUCUAAAGACUAGUACUAGUACCACUUCUCUUCUUCAAACAAAACAUUUUCAUAGCCACACAAUUUCAAACCAUAAAACCUCACCUCAAUCUUCAUCAGCCACAUCUCAUCUUCAUUCUCCACGUGUCAACCAACCAUUAGCCUUCCUCAUAUAUCCCUUGACAUGUCAUCACUUCUACAUCACACCAAAACAACACAUUCUUACCUUUUUACACCUCUCUUUCUAUCUUCUCCAUUUUGCCACUCAUUCCACAAAGAAACAAAAUCAUCAUCAUCAUCAAGAUAUCAAUACACCAACCCUUUGA